rnacentral:rRNA from 1 species
AGUCGAACGGAUCCUUCGGGAUUAGUGGCAGACGGGUGAGUAACGCGUGGGAAGCUACCUUGUGGUAGGGGACAACAGUUGGAAACGACUGCUAAUACCCUAUGAGCCCUAUGGGGGAAAGAUUUAUCGCCAUGAGAUGUGCCCGCGUUAGAUUAGCUAGUUGGUAAGGUAAUGGCUUACCAAGGCGACGAUCUAUAGCUGGUCUGAGAGGAUGAUCAGCCACACUGGGACUGAGACACGGCCCAGACUCCUACGGGAGGCAGCAGUGGGGAAUAUUGGACAAUGGGGGCAACCCUGAUCCAGCCAUGCCGCGUGUGUGAUGACGGCCUUAGGGUUGUAAAGCACUUUCAGCAGUGAAGAUAAUGACAUUAACUGCAGAAGAAGCCCCGGCUAACUUCGUGCCAGCAGCCGCGGUAAUACGAAGGGGGCUAGCGUUGUUCGGAAUCACUGGGCGUAAAGAGUACGUAGGCGGACUGAUAAGUUAGGGGUGAAAUCCCAAGGCUCAACCUUGGAACUGCCUUUGAUACUGUCAGUCUUGAGAUCGAGAGAGGUGAGUGGAACUCCGAGUGUAGAGGUGAAAUUCGUAGAUAUUCGGAAGAACACCAGUGGCGAAGGCGGCUCACUGGCUCGAUACUGACGCUGAGGUACGAAAGCGUGGGGAGCAAAC